rnacentral:misc_RNA from 1 species
UCUGCAACGCUCGAGCAACUAUUUCUCUACGCUGUAUCUCCGACCUCACCUGUGCAUUCUCAUCUUUUCCUCUGAUCACGUUGUGCACAUCACCUGGACAGAGUCUUUAUAACCAACAACAUCUCCCCCUCCCUCCAACCGCUUCACCCAUCCGUCAGCAUGCCGAUCCAAAAGGUUUACGCCCGUGAGGUGCUUGACUCCCGCGGCAACCCGACCGUUGAGGUCGAGUUGAUGACGGAGGCCGGCGUCUUCCGCUCCGCUGUGCCGUCCGGCGCGUCGACUGGCGUGCAUGAGGCGUGCGAGCUGCGCGACGGCGACAAGGCGCGCUACUGUGGCGCCGGCUGCACGCAGGCGGUGAAGAACGUGAACGAGAUCCUUGCGCCGGCGCUUGUGGGCAAGGACGAGUCGGACCAGGCCGGCCUCGACAAGAUGAUGUGUGAGCUGGACGGGACAAAGAACAAGAGCAAGCUCGGCGCGAACGCGAUCCUGGGCUGCUCGAUGGCGAUCAGCAAGGCCGCUGCGGCGAAGGCUGGCGUGCCACUGUACAGGUACAUCGCGGGCCUCGCCGGGACGAAGGAUAUUCGCCUGCCUGUGCCGUGCUUCAACGUGAUCAACGGUGGCAAGCACGCCGGCAACGUGCUGCCGUUCCAGGAGUUCAUGAUCGCGCCGACGAAGGCGACGUCGUUCCGUGAGGCGCUGCGCAUGGGCUCGGAGGUAUACCACGCGCUCAAGGUGAUCAUCAAGAGCAAGUACGGCCAGGACGCCGUGAACGUCGGCGACGAGGGCGGCUUCGCGCCGCCGAUCAAGCACAUCGACGAGCCGCUGCCGAUCCUGAUGGAGGCGAUUGAGAAGGCUGGGCACAAGGGCAAGUUCGCGAUCUGCAUGGACUGCGCGGCAAGCGAAGCGUAUGACGCGGAGAGGAAGAUGUACAACCUGACAUUCAAGAACCCCGAGCCGACGUACGUGUCCGCGGCGGAGCUGCAGGCGACCUACGAGCGCUGGGUCGCGGAGUACCCGCUGGUGUCCAUCGAGGACCCGUUCGCGGAAGACAACUUCGACGAGUUCUCGGCGAUUACGAUGGCACUCGCCGGAAAGGCUCAGAUCGUCGGUGAUGACCUGACGGUGACAAACGUGGAGCGUGUGAAGAUGGCGAUCGAGAAGUCUGCGUGCAACUCGCUGCUACUGAAGAUCAACCAGAUCGGCACGAUCAGCGAGUCGAUCGCAGCGGCGAAGCUGUGCAUGGAGAACGGGUGGUCUGUGAUGGUGUCGCACCGCAGCGGCGAGACGGAGGACACGUACAUUGCCGACCUGUCCGUGGGCCUGGGAACCGGCCAGAUCAAGACUGGCGCGCCGUGCCGCGGCGAACGCACUGCGAAGCUGAACCAGCUGCUGCGCAUCGAGGAGGAGAUCGGUUCCACGGCUACGUACGGCUACCCCGGCUGGGCGUAAGACGUGCUUCUCGGGCACCUAUCGCCGCCGUGCGCAGCUUCUUGAUCCUCUCUUGCCCCUCUCGACUCUACACUUCCACUGACGGUGCAACUGCUGCGUCGCGGAGUGCAUACACGGCACUUUUGUGCCGCGGGUCUAGCGCCUGCCAUCAAAAAAGAAAAUAACAUGGAUAGUGUGGCGCCUCGGCUGCCCGGCUGGCGCGUGUUUGUGUGCUCGCGGUGGAUGAAGGAGGGCGGGUCGGUGCGCUGGCGGCGAGGCGAUGCGCCGCGGCAAACUGCAACAGGCGGCCUGGUUUGUGUGUGUGUGUGUAUGUGGGCACUGCUGUGCCCGCUGCGCGUGUGCGCUGGCCGGGUGCCUCGAGGGGCGCCGGACGGCGUGUGCGGGCGUGUGCUUCCAUUCUUGCCCUUACUCACCCGCGUGUUGCGAGGCGCGUGAGCUUGCCUUAUAUUUACUUUGUUCUCUUUUCUCUGAACCGCCGAAACGGUCAGGCAUAUUGGAAAAAGAUUCCCUUCCCACUCGCUUGAGCUGCGCGCGAGUGCUGGCGCGUGAGGCGCGGUAAGCGGCGAGGGUGCCAGGCGACCGUGCCUCGCUCGGCUCCUCCUCUCUGCCUUGCUUGCUCUCCCUCGUUCUCUUUCUAAGCCUGCCUGUGCCUACGCGCGCCACGGGAUGAGCGGCCCUGCCUCCCUCCAUCUCUCUCUUCUCCCACCUGCUCUCUUUCUUUGCGCGCGCGUGUGAGCGGUGGUGGCAGCCAGAUACAGGCAAGCCGAUGUAUUGUAGUUGGAGAAGCAACGGAGCGUCAAGUACUGCGUGCAGGACUCAGCAUGUGAAGUGGAGGAACGGAAGG